rnacentral:rRNA from 1 species
UACGGAGGGUGCGAGCGUUAAUCGGAUUUACUGGGCGUAAAGGGUGCGUAGGCGGUUUGAUAAGUUAAGUGUGAAAGUCCUGGGCUUAACCUGGGGAAGUCACUUAAGACUGUCAGACUGGAGUAUGGGAGAGGGUAGUGGAAUUUCCGGUGUAGCGGUGAAAUGCGUAGAGAUCGGAAGGAACACCAGUGGCGAAGGCGGCUACCUGGCCCAAUACUGACGCUGAGGCACGAAAGCGUGGGGAGCAAACAGG